CUGCAGCCCAGGAUUCCUCCCAAGCCAUGUUCCAUCUGUGCAGUGACCCACUGGAAAUCAGACCGCCCAGCUCACCCGGCAGCCACUUCCAGAGCCCAGCCCCUAAAGCUCUGGCCCAAGGGUCUCUGACUGACUCCUUACCAGACCUGCUCAGCUUAGUGGCUGAAGACUGACGCUGCCCAAUCACCUUGGAAGCCCCCUGGACCAUCAUGGAUGCCAAGCUUCGGGUAACUUUCACAGUGGAGGGAAUGUCAGGCCUCUGCGCCGAAGCUCAGCCAUUGUAACCCCUGUGACUUGCACAUAUGUGUCCAGAUGGCCUGCAGGAGCCAAGAAGUCUGGGGCAGCUGAAAAACCACAAAAGAAGUAAAACAGCCAGUUCCUGCCUUAACAGAUUAACCAACAUUCCACCAUUCCACCAUUGUGACUGGUCCCUGCCCUACCUUAAUGGAUCGAUUGACCUUGUGACAUUCUUCUUCUGGACAAUGAGUCUUAUGAUCUCCCUACCAUGUACCUUGUGACCCCCCUCCUCUGCUAACAAUAGAUAACCACCUUUUAGUGUAAUUUUCCAUUACCUACCCAACUCCUAUAGGGCAACCCCUUCCCCAUCUCCCUUCGCUGACUCUCUUUUCAGACUCAGCCCACUUGCACCCAAGUGAAUAAACAGCCUUGUUGCUCA
rnacentral:lncRNA from 1 species